rnacentral:rRNA from 3 species
GGACUACUCGGGUAUCUAAUCCCGUUCGCUCCCCUAGCUUUCGCGCCUCAGCGUCAGAUGAGAUCCAGCAUGCCGCUUUCGCCACCGGCGUUCCUUCCGAUAUCAACGCAUUUCACCGCUCCACCGGAAGUUCCACAUGCCCCUACCUCCCUCAAGCCUGCCAGUAUCAAAAGCACUUUUCCGGUUGAGCCGAAAGAUUUCACCCCUGACUUGGCAGACCGCCUACGCGCCCUUUAAGCCCAGUGAUUCCGAACAACGUUCGCACGGUUCGUCUUACCGCGGCUGCUGGCAC